rnacentral:rRNA from 1 species
GUUAAGCUACUAAGGGCGUACGGUGGAUGCCUUGGCGCUGGGAGGCGACGAAGGACGUGGCAAGCUGCGAAAAGCCUCGGGGAGCCGCAAGCAGGCAUCGAUCCGAGGAUCUCCGAAUGGGGCAACCCGCUCGGCUGAAGGCCGAGCACUCCUGCCUGAAUCCAUAGGGCAGUGAGGGCCAACCCGGGGAAGUGAAACAUCUCAGUACCCGGAGGAAAAGAAAGCAAUAGCGAUUCCGCUAGUAGCGGCGAGCGAACGCGGAACAGCCCAAACCCGAGUGCUUGCCCUCGGGGGUUGUAGGGCGGGAGCCAUGGGAUUACGAAGGCGAGCAGAACAGGAUUGGAAAAUCCGGCCAUAGACGGUGACAGCCCAGUAUGCGAAGCUAGAGUAACCCUAUCCCGUACCUGAGUAGCGCGGGGCACGAGAAACCCCGCGUGAAUCUGGGGGGACCACCCUCCAAGGCUAAAUACUCCCCAGCGACCGAUAGUGCACAAGUACCGUGAGGGAAAGGUGAAAAGAACCCUUGCUAAGGGAGUGAAAUAGUACCUGAAACCGUACGUCUACAAGCAGUCGGAGCACCGUGCAUAGGGCUUGCCCUAUGUCCGUGCGACGGCGUGCCUUUUGCAUAAUGAGCCGGCGAGUUACCGUACGUAGCGAGGUUAAGCGCCUCAGGCGCGUAGCCGUAGCGAAAGCGAGUCCUAAUUGGGCGACUAGUUGCGUAUGGUAGACCCGAAGCGGGAUGAUCUAGCCAUGGGCAGGGUGAAAGUCGGGUAACACCGACUGGAGGCCCGAACCGGUGUACCUUAAAAAGUGCUCGGAUGACCUGUGGCUAGGGGUGAAAGGCCAAUCAAAUUCCGUGAUAGCUGGUUCUCCCCGAAAUGCUUUGAGGAGCAGCCUCGACUGCUCAGUUACCGAGGUAGAGCACUGGAUGGGCUAGGGGCCCCACAAGGCUACUGAACCCAACCAAACUCCGAAUGCGGUAACUCCAGAAGUCGGGAGUGAGUCGAUGGGGGAUAAGCUCCAUCGUCGAGAGGGAAACAACCCAGACCACCAGCUAAGGUCCCCAAGAUGGCACUAAGUGGAAAACGAUGUCACCUCUUUCAGACAACCAGGAUGUUGGCUUAGAAGCAGCCAUUCAUUUAAAGAGUGCGUAAUAGCUCACUGGUCAAAAGAGGUGGCGCGGAAAAUGUAACGGGGCUCAAGUGCCACACCGAAGCUGUGGGCUUAGACCGUAAAGGUCUCAGCGGUAGGGGAGCAUUCCGUAGGCUGUGAAGCUAGACCGAAAGGACUAGUGGAGCGUACGGAAGAGAGUAUGCCGGCAUUAGUAGCGAUAAAACGGGUGAAAAACCCGUUCGCCGUAAAUCUAAGGUUUCCUGGGCAAGGUUAAUCCUCCCAGGGUUAGUCGGCCCCUAAGGCGAGGCCCAAGGGCGUAGCUGAUGGGAAGCAGGCGAAAAUUCCUGCACCGCUGGAACGGCGACAAAGACACGGUGGGGUGACGCGGAAAGGUAGCUCUACUCCCUGACGGAUGGGAGGCGAAACCCGUAGGUGGAGGAUCUAGGCAAAUCCGGAUCCUCGUUAACACUGAGGGGAAUCGGGAAGCGCGGCUUCGGCCAAGCCAACUGAGUAACCCUAUGCCGCCGAGAAAAACCUCGGGCCGUGAGUCGUUCUAGCGACCGUACCGGAAACCGACACAGGUAGAUGAGGAGAGAAUCCUAAGGCGCUCGAGAUAACUCUUGUUAAGGAACUAGGCAAAAUGGCCCCGUAACUUCGGAAGAAGGGGUGCCCCGUUAGGGUGACGGUAUCUACUGCCGGAGCCCGAGGGGGUCGCAGUGAAAUGGGUCAAGCGACUGUUUAUCAAAAACACAGGGCUCUGCGAACACGAAAGUGGACGUAUAGGGUCUGACGCCUGCCCGGUGCCGGAAGGUUAAAGUGCGGGGUUAGCCGCAAGGCGAAGCUCCAAUCUGAAGCCCCGGUAAACGGCGGCCGUAACUAUAACGGUCCUAAGGUAGCGAAAUUCCUUGUCGGGUAAGUUCCGACCUGCACGAAUGGCGUAACGACUUGACCGCUGUCACAACAAGAGGCUCGGCGAAGUUGAGGUACCGGUGAAGACGCCGGUUACCCGCAUCAAGACGGAAAGACCCCGUGCACCUUUACUACAACCUGAUAUUGGAGUUUGACGUUUCAUGUAGAGAAUAGGUGGGAGGCUGUGAAGCGAGGGCGCCAGCCCUCGUGGAGCCGCCAGUGGAAUACCACCCUUGAAACGUUGAGCUUCUAACCUGCCUCCGUUAGCCGGAGGAGGGACAGUGUCAGGCGGGUAGUUUGACUGGGGCGGUCGCCUCCAAAACUGUAACGGAGGCGCGCGAAGGUUCCCUCAGCACGGUCGGCAAUCGUGCGUAGAGUGUACUGGCAUAAGGGAGCUUAACUGCGAGACCGACGGGUCGAGCAGGUGCGAAAGCAGGCCAGAGUGAUCCGGUGGUUCCGCGUGGAAGGGCCAUCGCUCAUCGGACAAAAGGUACGCCGGGGAUAACAGGCUUAUCUCCCCCAAGAGUUCACAUCGACGGGGAGGUUUGGCACCUCGAUGUCGGCUCAUCGCAUCCUGGGGCUGAAUAAGGUCCCAAGGGUUUGUCUGUUCGCCAAUUAAAGCGGUACGUGAGCUGGGUUCAGAACGUCGUGAGACAGUUCGGUCCCUAUCUGAUGCGGGCGUAGGAACGCUGAGAGGAGUUCACCCUAGUACGAGAGGACCGGGUGGAACAGACCUCUGGUGACCCUGUUGUAGCGCCAGCUGCAUAGCAGGAUAACUAUGUCUGGAUGUGAUAACCGCUGAAAGCAUCUAAGCGGGAAGCACACCUCAAGAUUAGCGUUCCCGAGCCGUAAGGCUCCUGAAGACCCCACGGAGACUACGUGGUUGAUAGGCGGGGAGUGUAAGCGCAGCAAUGCGUUUAGCUGACCCGUACUAAUCGGUCGUGAGGCUUAACUUUA